rnacentral:rRNA from 1 species
UUAAGUAAUGGCGAAUGAACAAGGAUGAGCUCAGAAUGAAAAUCGGGNCCUAUGGUUUGAAUUGUAGUCUUGAGAUGUGUUGCCAGCGNGGGNNGAUGUAAGCCUCUUGGAAAAGAGCACCAACGAGGGUGAUAGUCCCGUUUGUCAUCUGCAGCCCCCCGUGUACGGCGCAUGUUCUAAGAGUCGCGUUCCUCGGGAUUGGAGCGUAAAUGGGUGGUAAAUUUCAUCUGAAGCUAAAUAUUGGUUCGAGACCGAUAGCAAACAAGUACCAUGAGGGAAAGGUGAAAAGGACUUUGAAAAGAGAGUUAAAAGUGCCUGAAAUUGCUGAGAGGGAAGCGAAUGGAACCAGCUUUGCUUGGCGAGAUUGUUGCAUGCUAUAGCUAUGGCUUGCUAUGGUAACGUAAGNGCCCUAGCUUGCCACCAACUUGAUGCAUGCGGUGGUUCUUGCUUUGUGUGUCAGCUUUGGCGCAGANUUGAUGAAAACUGUAGGGUCAAGGUAGCUCGUCUCCGGGUGAGUGAAUGUCCCUGCAAGAAAUCACGUGUGCGCUUGACAUGGCGUGCCUCAUUUGGUGAGCCACAAGAUUGAUGACAAAAUGGUUCCAUACGACCC